UACGUAGGGCGCAAGCGUUAUCCGGAAUUAUUGGGCGUAAAGAGCUCGUAGGCGGUUUGUCGCGUCUGCCGUGAAAGUCCGGGGCUUAACCCCGGAUCUGCGGUGGGUACGGGCAGACUAGAGUGCAGUAGGGGAGACUGGAAUUCCUGGUGUAGCGGUGAAAUGCGCAGAUAUCAGGAGGAACACCGAUGGCGAGGGCAGGUCUCUGGGCUGUAACUGACGCUGAGGAGCGAAAGCAUGGGGAGCGAACAGG
rnacentral:rRNA from 1 species